rnacentral:other from 1 species
AGUAUCCUGCCCGGCACGAUUUGUUGCGGAAUAUAUGAUCCUACUAAUCAUCCAUCGGGAGCCUGGAGUCCGGUGGGGGAUUGCAGACCGCCCCGUCAGGGUCCACCCUGGAGGUUCGAUGCGGGAGCAUGAAACCAUUGGCAGGGCACCCACCUGUCCGUAAGGGUAGGUUUGAUUUAUCCGCAGACGACCGGGCGGGAUUCUU